AAAACAUGAUAACUUAUCCAGAUGGUGGCGCUAGUAUGCUUUUAGUCUGACUCAUUUAAGACGAAGAAGAAGCAUGUCCGUCAUCUACUCGGGAACUAAAAUGGCAAAUUUAUUGAAAUGGAUCAAGUUUUACUUUAUGCUCGCUAGUAUCACCUUAUUUUCAACGGAAAUACGGAGACAGUGAAUGAGAUAUCCCUCCGCCUGUGGCUAAAAGUUGUAACUUUGAAGAAACCACCGAAACAAUGCUAUGUUUGUUCUUUUAAUUUUGUGGACAAAAGGACCGAUAGGAGACCACACGAUGCCAGAAAACUGGUCUGGCUACGAAGUUCCAUUAAAAUCUCCGUGGAGACGUCAAGAGGACAGCAAACACAGAUGAUUGCCGCUGUGAUGCAGAGGCUGACUGGACCGCUCCGUAAUCAGUCACCUAUGCAGAAAGAUGCUGAUACUACAGGCACCGAAGGAUCACACCUAGGAGAAGAGAAGAACAGUGCAUGUGUACUCCUCUGGCAUACCAGAGUGUCUCUGACACAUGGAAGAACACAUAAUGUAUUUGCCGGCCACUCAUAUUUCACAUAUAUUACCUGUCCAGGUGUACCCUGCCUCUCGCCAUUGAAUGCUGGAGAUAGGCACCAGCACCCCUCGCUAUCCCAACAAGGAUAAGGGUGUAGGAAAAUGGAUGGUAAUAAAUUAGUACAAAAAGUCAUUCAAGUUUGGGUAAUGUUCUGUCAAAACACCACCUCUUCCUGUCUGUGGAUGUGAGCACACCAUUCUAUAACAGUCUAAUCUUGAAUGGCAAGUUGGAUAAGUACAUCAGGAAGAUAAGUAGAAAAAUAUGGACGGUUUAUAGUUGUCACUACAAACUAUCCAUAUUUUAUAUAAAUAUGAUGACACCAAGUACUGUAAUAUAAAUAAAAAAUAACUGUUCCUUUAACUUUGUUAAAAGGUGCAGUUUGCCGUGGCCAAAGGUCUGACUGGAUUGUCCUGAACAGAUGAGCUGUGCCGUCCCCAAAAGGCUGAAUGAUGGAUGUUUCCUGCACCACAAGAAUUAAACGGCCUACAAAUAUGCCAUAAGUGAAAUGUACUACAUUUAAUGUAAACAAAUUGCAUUAAUUCAAUAAAUGAAAUACUCUUA